AUUGAACGCUGGCGGCAUGCCUUACACAUGCAAGUCGAACGGCAGCACGGGGGCAACCCUGGUGGCGAGUGGCGAACGGGUGAGUAAUAUAUCGGAACGUGCCCCGUAGCGGGGGACAACCAGUCGAAAGACUGGCUAAUACCGCAUACGCUCCACGGAGGAAAGCAGGGGAUCGCAAGACCUUGCACUAUGGGAGCGGCCGAUGCCCGAUUAGCUAGUUGGUGAGGUAAAAGCUCACCAAGGCAACGAUCGGUAGCUGGUCUGAGAGGACGACCAGCCACACUGGGACUGAGACACGGCCCAGACUCCUACGGGAGGCAGCAGUGGGGAAUUUUGGACAAUGGGCGCAAGCCUGAUCCAGCCAUGCCGCGUGCGGGAAGAAGGCCUGGUU
rnacentral:rRNA from 1 species